rnacentral:rRNA from 1 species
AUACGUAGGGGGCGAGCGUUAUCCGGAAUUAUUGGGCGUAAAGAGUGCGUAGGUGGUUUUGUAAGCGCGGGGUGAAAGGCUAUGGCUCAACCAUAGUAAGCCUUGCGAACUGUGAGACUUGAGUGCAGGAGAGGAAGGCGGAAUUCCUAGUGUAGCGGUGAAAUGCGUAGAUAUUAGGAGGAACACCAGUGGCGAAGGCGGCUUUCUGGACUGUAACUGACACUGAGGCACGAAAGCGUGGGGAGC